CGGCUUCACCGGGGGUGCCGGGCCCGCAGCAAUGCGGGCGGCGGCUGAGAAAUACCCCUCUCACCUGAUCUGGGUUGUGCCAGCGUAGGGAGCGUGACAAGCCGGUCCG
rfam:Hydrogenophaga sp. H7 H7_scaffold7, whole genome shotgun sequence.